rnacentral:rRNA from 1 species
UACGGGGGGAGCAAGCGUUGUUCGGAUUUACUGGGCGUAAAGGGCGCGUAGGCGGCGUGACAAGUCACUUGUGAAAUCUCCGGGCUUAACUCGGAACGGUCAAGUGAUACUGUCGUGCUAGAGUACAGAAGGGGCAACUGGAAUUCUCGGUGUAGCGGUGAAAUGCGUAGGUAUCGAGAGGAACACCUGCGGCGAAGGCGGGUUGCUGGGCUGAUACUGACGCUGAGGCGCGAAAGCCAGGGGAGCGAACGGG